rnacentral:rRNA from 1 species
UGGGGAAUAUUGGACAAUGGGGGCAACCCUGAUCCAGCAAUACCGCGUGUGUGAAGAAGGCCUGCGGGUUGUAAAGCACUUUCAGUAGGGAAGAAAAGUUGUUUGUUAAUAGCAGACGAAAUUGACGUUACCUACAGAAGAAGCACCGGCUAACUCCGUGCCAGCAGCCGCGGUAAUACGGAGGGUGCAAGCGUUAAUCGGAAUUACUGGGCGUAAAGCGCGCGUAGGCGGCUUGUUAAGUCAGAUGUGAAAUCCCCGAGCUCAACUUGGGAACUGCAUUUGAUACUGGCAGGCUAGAGUAUGUUAGAGGAAAGCGGAAUUCCGGGUGUAGCGGUGAAAUGCGUAGAUAU